CAGAGUUCUCGCCCUCGCGGGUAGAUCUCCCACCCAAUGUUAUCACUACGAUUGUUGCUUUGGCGGGCCGCCGGGCCCUGCCCGUCCGCCGGCUCCGGCCGGCGCGCGCCCGCCAGAGGCCCUUCAAACUCUGAAUGUUAGUGUCGUCUGAGUACUAUAUAAUAGUUA
rnacentral:misc_RNA from 1 species